rnacentral:rRNA from 1 species
UGCAGUCGAGCGGAACGAUCCUAGCUUGCUAGGAGGCGUCGAGCGGCGGACGGGUGAGCAACGCGUAGGAACUUACCCAGUAGUUGGGGAUAGCCCGGAGAAAUCCGGAUUAAUACCGAAUAAUCUCUAAGGAGGAAAGUGGGCUUCGGCUCACGCUACUGGAUGGGCCUGCGUAAGAUUAGCUAGUUGGUGUGGUAAAGGCGCACCAAGGCGACGAUCUUUAGCUGGUCUGAGAGGAUGAUCAGCCACACUGGGACUGAGACACGGCCCAGACUCCUACGGGAGGCAGCAGUGGGGAAUAUUGGACAAUGGGGGCAACCCUGAUCCAGCCAUACCGCGUGUGUGAAGAAGGCCUUCGGGUUGUAAAGCACUUUCAGACAGGAGGAAAAGUUGAUGGUUAAUACCCAUCAGCCGUGACGUUACUGUCAGAAGAAGCACCGGCUAACUCCGUGCCAGCAGCCGCGGUAAUACG